rnacentral:rRNA from 1 species
UCAGGACGAACGCUGGCGGCGCGCUUAACACAUGCAAGUCGAGCGAUGAAAUUUCGACAGAUCCCUUCGGGGUGAAGAUGAAAUGGAUUAGCGGCGGACGGGUGAGUAACACGUGAGUAACCUGCCUUAGACAUUGGGAUAGCCUCGGGAAACCGGGAUUAAUACCAAAUGAAAUCACAUAUGCACAUGCAUAAAUGAUCAAAGCUCCGGCGGUCUAAGAUGGACUCGCGUCCCAUUAGCUAGUUGGUGAGGUAACGGCCCACCAAGGCGACGAUGGGUAGCCGGCCUGAGAGGGUGAACGGCCACAUUGGAACUGAGAAACGGUCCAAACUCCUACGGGAGGCAGCAGUGGGGAAUAUUGCACAAUGGAGGGAACUCUGAUGCAGCGACGCCGCGUGAACGAAGAAGGCUUUCGAGUCGUAAAGUUCUUUUAUAUGGGAAGAUAAUGACGGUACCAUAAGAAAAAGCCCCGGCUAACUACGUGCCAGCAGCCGCG